ACUUGGGCUUCGAAGACCACUUCCCUCUGCUCCCCAGGGCCUUCCCCACUGGCUUCAGAGGCGUGACUGAGGGCAAGAAGGAAGAGCCAAGAUUCUGUCUACAUGUGUAGUGAAGUUUGUCUCCCUGACAGUUAAUCCUGAGACAGCCUUCCAUUGCCUUGAUAGGCUUGUCAUUCAUGCCUUGACACCUCUCAUUCAUCUGAGUCUGGCCUGCUGGAUAUGCAAAUGAUAGGAGGACUGAAAAUCAUAAUCCUUCAGCCGUGAUGGCGUCAACGUCACUAUUCUUGGAACAAGCCAUUUUUACCAGAGAUGUCUCCAAGAGCACCAGCAACCCCAGCUAUCUGGAUCUGAAGUGGAUAUGCUCAGAGACAUCCUGGCCCACCCCAAAGAAGAUGCUGCUGCACUCAGAAGACGCCAGAGCUAGCCACCACCCACACUGCAAGUCUGGAAGCUCUGCAAGGACCCAGCAAGGCAGCCUGCUCAGCGAAGGCUUUGUCUCCUGUGGCAGGAAGAGCAACAUUAAGAACAAGAACCCCGGGCUGGACUACCCCUGAGAUUUAAUGACCAGAGCUGAGACCCCCAAGACCACAAUGACUAUGGAGGGCUGUCAUUACCCUGCCUGACCCUCUAAUGCCUCUCAGUUCAAGGAGGCCACUGAGUGAAACUGAAGGCUGGUUUUCCUUGGAAGCCAGCGGCCCAUCCACCUGCUCCACUUCCCUGCCUCUUGCAGCCUCCGCUCAAACACUGUCGUGGCUUGGCAGCACUACAAGGCAGAGUGAAAACAGAUACUUCUACCCACAUUCCUAUCUCCUCUCAUUUACGCAGAUUAAAUGCUUUCUUUCCUUGUUU
rnacentral:lncRNA from 1 species